AAUAUUGCGCAAUGGGGGAAACCCUGACGCAGCGACGCCGCGUGAACGAUGAAGGCCUUCGGGUCGUAAAGUUCUGUCCUCAGGGAAGAAUAAAUUGACGGUACCUGAGGAGGAAGCCCCGGCUAACUACGUGCCAGCAGCCGCGGUAAUACGUAGGGGGCAAGCGUUGUCCGGAAUUAUUGGGCGUAAAGGGUGCGUAGGCGGCCUUUUAAGUCAGGUGUGAAAGCCCACGGCUUAACCGUGGGAUUGCAUUUGAAACUGGAAGGCUUGAGUAUCGGAGAGGGUAGUGGAAUUCCCAGUGUAGCGGUGGAAUGCGUAGAUAUUGGGAGGAACACCAGUGGCGAAGGCGACUACCUGGACGAAAACUGACGCUGAGGCACGAAAGCUAGGGGAGCAAAC
rnacentral:rRNA from 1 species